GACGGGCUCUUCGGAGCUAGUGGCGGACGGGUGAGGAACGCGUGAGAACCUGCCUCAAGGUCGGGGACAACAGUUGGAAACGACUGCUAAUACCGGAUGAGCCCAAUAGGUAAAAGAUUUAUCGCCUAGAGAGGGGCUCGCGUCUGAUUAGCUAGAUGGUGAGGUAAAGGCUUACCAUGGCGACGAUCAGUAGCUGGUCUGAGAGGAUGAGCAGCCACACUGGGACUGAGACACGGCCCAGACUCCUACGGGAGGCAGCAGUGGGGAAUUUUUCCCCAAUGGGCGAAACCCUGACGGAACAAUCCCAGCGUGAGGGAGGAAGGUUCUUGGGUUGUAAACCUCAAAACUUAGGGAAGAAAAAAAUGACGGUACCUAAUGUAAGCAUCGGCUAACUCCGUACCAGCAGCCGCGGUAAUACGGAGGAUGCAAGCGUUAUCCGGAAUCAUUGGGCGUAAAGAGUCCGUAGGUGGCACUUCAAGUCUGCUUUCAAAGACCGAAGCUCAACUUCGGAAAGGGAGUGGAAACUGAAGAGCUAGAGUAUAGUAGGGGUAGAGGGAAUUCCUAGUGUAGCGGUGAAAUGCGUAGAGAUUAGGAAGAACACCAGUGGCGAAGGCGCUCUACUGGGCAUAUACUGACACUGAGGGACGAAAGCUAGGGGAGCGAAAGGGAUUAGAUACCCCUGUAGUCCUAGCGGUAAACGAUGGAUACUAGGCGUAGUGCUGUUAGAAGGACUGUGCCGAAGCUAACGCGUUAAGUAUCCCGCCUGGGGGAGUACGCACGCAAGUGUGAAACUCAAAGGAAUUGACGGGGACCCGCACAAGCGGUGGAGUAUGUGGGUUUAAUUCGAUGCAACGCGAAGAACCUUACCAAGGCUUGACAUCCUGCGAAUCUUGGAGAAAUCUGAGAGUGCCUAAGGGAACGCAGAGACAGGAUGGUGCAUGGCUGUCGUCAGCUCGUGUCGUGAGAUGUUGGGGUUAAGUCCCGCAACGAGCGCAACCCUCGUCCUUAGUUGCCAGCAUUAAGUUUGGGGACUCUAGGGGAGACCGCCGGGGAGAACUCGGAGGAAGGUGGGGAUGACGUCAAGUCAGCAUGCCCCUUACGUCUUGGGCUACACACGUACUACAAUGGUUGGGACAAAGGGGAGCGAAACCGCGAGGUGGAGCGAAUCUCAUCAAACCCAGCCACAGUUCAGAUUGCAGGCUGAAACUCGCCUGCAUGAAGGAGGAAUCGCUAGUAAUCGCAGGUCAGCAUACUGCGGUGAAUCCGUUCCCGGGUCUUGUACACCCCGCCCGUCACACCAUGGAAGUUGGUCACGCCCGAAGUCGUUAUUCUAACCC
rnacentral:rRNA from 1 species